UACGUAGGGGGCAAGCGUUGUCCGGAUUUAUUGGGCGUAAAGAGCGUGUAGGCGGCUUGGAAGGUCAGCUGUGAAAACUCGAGGCUCAACCUCGAGACGUCGGUUGAAACCACCUGGCUAGAGUCCGGAAGAGGAGAGUGGAAUUCCCGGUGUAGCGGUGAAAUGCGCAGAUAUCGGGAAGAACACCAGUGGCGAAGGCGGCUCUCUGGGACGGUACUGACGCUGAGACGCGAAAGCGUGGGGAGCGAACAGG
rnacentral:rRNA from 1 species